CGAGUUGGCAGGGCGGCCGCGACCUCGGUGCCCGCGAGGGCGCCGGGCCGAGGAAAGUCCGGACUCCGUAGGGCAGGGUGGUUGCUAACGGCAACCCGGGGUGACCCGCGGGACAGUGCCACAGAAAACAGACCGCCCCGCGGCAACGCGGGGUAAGGGUGAAACGGUGGUGUAAGAGACCACCAGCGUCCCGGGUGACCGGGACGGCUCGGUAAACCCCACCCGGAGCAAGGCCAAGAGGGAGCUGACGCUCCUGCGCAGGCGUUCGAGGGUAGCCCGCCCGAUGCCUGCGGGUAGGCCGCUGGAGCCUGCCGGCGACGGCAGGCCGAGAUGGAUGGUCGCCGCCCGCGUUCGCGCGGGAACAGAAUCCGGCUUACAUGCCAACUCGUCCA
rnacentral:RNase_P_RNA from 3 species